GGGAUAAAUGAAGGGUAAGCAGUUGUGUAGCUGUGGUGGGAGCAGUGGUGGGUAGCUUUCAAUAGUAGAUCAUCAUAUUUUUCCAUUUUCUGAAACCACAGUUCUUUCCUGAAAGCCAUUAGUCUGGUUUAGGCUUCAGGCUGCUGGAGGAAAGCAUUAUUUAGUGAGUGCUGCAGAAGCUGAUUCUUGUGGAACCCAUGAGACUUAGAUCUUGCUGAUGUCAGAAUUUUCACAAGAUUUUGCAUUUUCAGAGACGUUUUGUACUCUGUUUGAGAGCUUGAUAUAAAUGGUCUUGUUUUCUAUUUCCCAGAUUAAAAUCUGUGGAUAAAAAGAACUUCAUUUGUUCCCUAUGGAAGAUGCAAAAUAUAUUUGAGUGACUGAAUGGAUACAUCUUUGUGAAUGACUAUGACUCAGGUUUACAUUGCCAUUUUCAUAAAAAAAGGGGGAAAAUUUGCUCUUCUAAACUAAAUUCAAGAGUAGAGAGAGGUAAUACUAUGUCCACCAAAAAAUUACAAUAGAAGUGAAAUAUUCAUAUUCUAAUCUUUCAAACAAAAGUAAGGAACCAUUUUGUUGCUCCCUCUCAUGGCUGAGAUUAGGGAAUUCUGGCUUUUCUCUUUGGUCAGGUGAACUACUCAGGGGUAUUUAUUAAGUGAAUACAUUCACCAAACAGUCUUGGACUUCACAGGACAACUUCUCGGUGCCAUUCAGUGAAAGCUGGGAAUACGAAGAUGCCUAAGGUCAUGUGAGCCCCACAUUUCUUGCAGUCCAGUGGAAAGACAGCUGCAUGAAUAUAUACUAGAGUGAAUAUAGAUACAAUAAAUUAUACCCAAGUGUAAUACAAUUAACAACUUUUAUGCUAGUGGUAUAAACCAGAAGAGGGAUUUUGUCAAUCGAUAUUAAUUUGGGAGGUUAAGGAGGGUUUUACUGAGAAGAUAAGUUGAAAUGCAAGGAUGUAUACACAUUUUUCCAGGCAGAAAAUGGGAAAGGCAUUAUGGAAGGAGGCAAGCAAAGGCAAGGCAGUGGAUGGACGUGGGAAACUGCCACACACCAUCUCUUGAGGAUACGAAAGGAGACAAGGUAGGCACAGGUCAGAUGGAGAAGGUGUCCUUGGUAUGCCCGUGUGCAUGUGGGAGCAAACCAGGCUUUCAGCCAAGACGUCACUGACUGCAUACAUAUAAGUUCUUUAAAAUGCCAGCAUUGGCAGGAGGUUGUAGAACUGAUUGGGUGGUGGGCGGUGUGAGAAGACAGGAGAAAAGAGGGGCCAGUAUUAUUAAAUUCUGUAACUCUUUUUUUUCAUUACAGAUUUUAAAAAAAUGUUGCUAAAAAUACGUGCAGGUUUUUAAAAAAGCUGAUUUCAUCUCUGAUUAGUGGCCAAGGCAACAGUCAGUACAGAUUAAAAAGAAGUUGCAUGCAAUGAGAAGGAGAGGGAAAGUGUCUCUUAGGGCUGUUGUUCUUAGAAGAGUGUGAGCGAAGCAGGAACUUGGAAUUUCAUACUCUUUUUCCAGCACAAGUAUGAAGAAAUGAACUAGACGUGAAGAAGUCUGUGAAAAGAAGUCAGUGAACUUCAGGGAAUAUCCUGUGAGCAUCAUCUUCUUUAUUCAGCAACAUUAAGAGCAUCUCCAGUGGGUUCACAUAUAUUUUUUUGAGUGUCUGUUUUCUGUUAAUCAUGGUGAGAACAUUAAGAAUAAUUUUAGAAAUUGGAAACAUUCUUAACUCUGAGAGAUCAUUACUUUGCUCUGCUGUGGUUACAAAUACAGUAAGUUCAACAUAAACACAGCUUAAGAAGUGUCUCAACCACUUCAGAAAUGUAGAAGUAUUUUUUAUAAUCUAGAGUAUUUAAUUAAUCAAAACUUCUAUUCCCCUAGUAUUCUGAGUAAUCAAUAUUUUCAUUUGUGAGUUUCAGAUGAAGAAUUAUUUGCACAAUGACAUAUCUGGGUUUUUUAAUACACUUUCUUCUGAAUCUUUCUUUAGUGUGAUGUGAGGUAUACAUGAGAAGUGUGCAUUUAAAUAGUCACAGUAAUGAUUGUAAUGAAUUCCAAGUGAGGACCGCAUGCUCUAAUUCCCAUGAAUUGAGGGGUAAUAUUUUUAUGUUAUCGUUUUCUAUAAUAAAACCUAAAAGCAGGUGCACAUGUCUGGCAAUUUAAAAGUUUCAAUAAAUUAAUAUUUGCUAAUAAUACUGACCUAUUUCUCCUAAGGAUUACAUAAGUGGAAGUUUUAUUUUAAACUAGUUUUUAAAAUAGUGUGUUAUGAAGAGCCAAUGCUAUGGGUAUAACAGAAUUUUACUAUUAAGUCAAUUGAGUAUAACAUGUAAAAUUUUUUUCUCUUGGCCAACAAUCUCUGAUCUAGGGCAAAAUGUCUCAGAACAGUUGUCCAGAGUGAUGCAACUUCAUAGGCACCACUUACCAUCUUUAUUGGAAAAUUGAGUAGAUCUUUAUAGACAUACUUUUAUGUGUCUCAAAUUGAAAAACCUACUUAUAGAUAUUAGUCUGAUAUUUUAGUGACUAAGUAAAUUAUUAAAUAAAAUAUUUAUUAAGUGGUAAUUUUUAAUAGAUUUCCUAGUUUGGGUAUAUCAUUCUCACUAUUUAAAAGUUCAUGUAGGAGUUCCCUAAUGGCCUAGUGGUUAAAGACUCGGUGUUGUCACUUCUGUGGCUCUUUUGGUCCCUGGCCCAGAAACUUCCACAUUCCUUGGGAACAGCCAAAAAACAAAACAAAAGAAAACAAAACAAAAAAACAACAACAGCUCAUGUUUUUAAGAUUAAAGAGCAACUGAAUGGGAGUUCCCGUCGGCUCGGUGGUUAACGAAUCUGACUGGGAACCAUGAGGUUGUGGGUUUGAUCCCUGGCCUUCCUCAGUGGGUUAGGAUCUGGUGUUGCUGUGAGCUGUGGUGUAGGUCGCAGACGCAGCUCGGAUCCCCCAUUGCUGUGGCUCUGGCGUAGGCUGGAGGCUACAGCUCUGAUUAAACCCCUACCCUGGGAACCUCCAUGUGCCGCG
rnacentral:lncRNA from 1 species